rnacentral:rRNA from 1 species
GAUGAACGCUGGCGGCGUGCCUAAUACAUGCAAGUCGAGCGAACAGACGAGGAGCUUGCUCCUCUGACGUUAGCGGCGGACGGGUGAGUAACACGUGGAUAACCUACCUAUAAGACUGGGAUAACUUCGGGAAACCGGAGCUAAUACCGGAUAAUAUAUUGAACCGCAUGGUUCAAUAGUGAAAGACGGUUUUGCUGUCACUUAUAGAUGGAUCCGCGCCGCAUUAGCUAGUUGGUAAGGUAACGGCUUACCAAGGCGACGAUGCGUAGCCGACCUGAGAGGUUGAUCGGCCACACUGGAACUGAGACACGGUCCAGACUCCUACGGGAGGCAGCAGUAUGGAAUCUUCCGCAAUGGGCGAAAGCCUGACGGAGCAACGCCGCGUGAGUGAUGAAGGUCUUCGGAUCGUAAAACUCUGUUAUUAGGGAAGAACAAAUGUGUAAGUAACUAUGCACGUCUUGACGGUACCUAAUCAGAAAGCCACGGCUAACUACGUG